rnacentral:misc_RNA from 1 species
UCUCGGCUUAUCACCGGCAGUCCCUCUAGAGUGCCCAACUUAAUGCUGGCAACUAAAGGCAAGGGUUGCGCUCGUUGCGGGACUUAACCCAACAUCUCACGACACGAGCUGACGACAGCCAUGCAGCACCUGUGCAGGAGUCCCGAAGGACACCCCGGGUUUCCCCAGGAUUUCCCCUGCAUGUCAAGCCCUGGUAAGGUUCUUCGCGUUGCGUCGAAUUAAACCACAUGCUCCACCGCUUGUGCAGGCCCCCGUCAAUUUCUUUGAGUUUUAACCUUGCGGCCGUACUCCCCAGGCGGAUGACUUAACGCGUUAGCUGCGCCACCGAAACUCCAUGAGCCCCGACAGCUAGUCAUCAUCGUUUACGGCGUGGACUAC